rnacentral:rRNA from 1 species
AAUCCUGGCUCAGGAUGAACGCUAGCUACAGGCUUAACACAUGCAGGUCGAGGGGCAGCAUGGUCUUAGCUUGCUAAGGCUGAUGGCGACCGGCGCACGGGUGAGUAACACGUAUCCAACCUGCCGUCUACUCUUGGCCAGCCUUCUGAAAGGAAGAUUAAUCCAGGAUGGGAUCAUGAGUUCACAUGUCCUCAUGAUUAAAGGUAUUUUCCGGUAGACGAUGGGGAUGCG